rnacentral:lncRNA from 13 species
AUGCCUCGCUGUAUGUCUCUCUCAAAUGUCAAUAUGCCUUGUAUACUGUUGUUCAGGUUAGUUAUCAUUGUUUUAGUUUACAAUGGAGCCCCUAGUUCCACUCUUCAUACCCCUGAUACCUCCUUUGUCCCACCUCCCACACAUGCGGUGACCUCACCCAUUACAACCAGCAUGUCCAGAGAUACAACCUCUCUCAUCAUCACCCAGUGCCUGGGCUUACCUCCGCUGUACCCACACCCCACCAUACCCCUGUCUGCGCAUUAUGCCCUGAAUAUAUUCUACCAUGCCCAGAAAUCUGCUCCUUUUAUUCUCUGUCCCCAAUGCUCUAGGCAACCAGUUUUGAUAGCCUUUAGCCGCACCCUCAUACUACUCCUCCUCUGUUCCGCGGGUGAUGUGGAGGUAAACCCAGGCCCUGAAUCCUGGCUCAGGGAGGCCACCAAAAAUUCUGAGAUUUCCAUACCCAACUAUAACAUUUUCCGUCAAGAUAGAACUACCAAAGGGGGAGGAGUUGCAGUCUACUGCAGAGAUAGCCUGCAAAGUAAUGUCAUACUUUCCAGGUCCAUACCCAAACAGUUCGAACUACUAAUUAAAAAAAAUACUCUCUCCAGAAAUAAGUCUCUCACUGUUGCCGCCUGCUACCGACCCCCCUCAGCUCCCAGCUGUGCCCUGGACACCAUUUGUGAAUUGAUCGCCCCCCAUCUAGCUUCAGAGUUUGUUCUGUUAGGUGACCUAAACUGGGAUAUGCUUAACACCCCGGCAGUCCUACAAUCUAAGCUAGAUGCCCUCAAUCUCACACAAAUCAUCAAGGAACCCACCAGGUACAACCCUAAAUCUGUAAACAAGGGCACCCUCAUAGACGUCAUCCUGACCAACUGGCCCUCCAAAUACACCUCCGCUGUCUUCAACCAGGAUCUCAGCGAUCACUGCCUCAUUGCCUGUAUCCGCUACGGAGCCGCAGUCAAACGACCACCCCUCAUCACUGUCAAACGCUCCCUAAAACACUUCUGUGAGCAGGCCUUUCUAAUCGACCUGNNNNNNNNNNUCCAGAAAUAA